rnacentral:rRNA from 1 species
UACGUAGGUGACAAGCGUUGUCCGGAAUUACUGGGCGUAAAGCGUGCGUAGACGGUUACGUAAGUUAGGUGUGAAAGCCCCGGGCUCAACCUGGGAAUUGCAUUUAAGACUGCGUAGCUAGGGUGCGGAAGAGGGAAGCGGAAUUUCCGGUGUAGCGGUGAAAUGCGUAGAUAUCGGAAGGAACAUCAGUGGCGAAAGCGGCUUCCUGGUCCAGCACCGACGUCAGGCACGAAAGCGUGGGGAGCAAACAGG